AUUGAACGCUGGCGGCAGGCCUAACACAUGCAAGUCGAACGAGUGGCGGACGGGUGAGUAAUGUCUGGGACACUGCCUGAUGGAGGGGGAUAACUACUGGAAACGGUAGCUAAUACCGCAUACCAUCGGAUGUGCCCAGAUGGGAUUAGCUAGUCGGUGGGGUAAAGGCUCACCUAGGCGACGAUCCCUAGCUGGUCUGAGAGGAUGACCAGACAACCUGGAACAGAGAAACGGUCCAGACGCCUACGGGAGGCAGCAGUGGGGAAUAUUGCACAAUGGGCGCAAGCCUGAUGCAGCCAUGCCGAGUGUAUGAAGAAGGCCUGCGGGUUGUAAAGUACUGUCAGCGGGGAGGCGUUACCCGCAGAAGAAGCACCGGCUAACUCCGUGCCAGCAGCCGCGGUAAUUC
rnacentral:rRNA from 1 species